CCUACGGGGGGCAGCAGUGGGGAAUAUUGGACAAUGGGGGCAACCCUGAUCCAGCCAUGCCGCGUGUGUGAAGAAGGCCCUCGGGUUGUAAAGCACUUUCAGUGAGGAAGAACGCCUGGUGGUUAAUACCCAUCAGGAAAGACAUCACUCACAGAAGAAGCACCGGCUAACUCCGUGCCAGCAGCCGCGGUAAUACGGAGGGUGCGAGCGUUAAUCGGAAUUACUGGGCGUAAAGCGCGCGUAGGUGGCUUGAUAAGCCGGUUGUGAAAGCCCCGGGCUCAACCUGGGAACGGCAUCCGGAACUGUCAAGCUAGAGUGCAGGAGAGGAAGGUAGAAUUCCCGGUGUAGCGGUGAAAUGCGUAGAGAUCGGGAGGAAUACCAGUGGCGAAGGCGGCCUUCUGGACUGACACUGACUCUGAGGUGCGAAAGCGUGGGUAGCAAACAGGAUUAGAUACCCCUGUAGUC
rnacentral:rRNA from 1 species